CAUUUCCUCUGUGGUGGAAUCUGUGAGUGUUAUGUCUUAUUAGUGCAAGAAAAUUGGAGUCCAGCUCUUUAUGACUAAAACCACAUUACCAUAACAACUGGUACUGUAACUAUCGCAACCAGCAGCCACAUUACCCCAACAGCCAGUACUGUAACUAUCACAACCAGCAGCCACAUUACCCCAACAGCCAGUACUGUAACCAUCACAACCAGCAGCCACAUUACCCCAACAGCCAGUACUGUAACUAUCACAACCAGCAGCCACAUUACCCCAACAGCCGGUACUGUAACUAUCACAACCAGCAGCCACAUUACCCCCACAGCCAGUACUGUAACUAUCACAACCAGCAGCCACAUUACCCCCACAGCCGGUACUGUAACUAUCACAACCAGCAGCCACAUUACCCCAACAGCCAGUACUGUAACUAUCACAACCAGCAGCCACAUUACCCCCACAGCCAGUACUGUAACUAUCACAACCAGCAGCCACAUUACCCCAACAGCCAGUACUGUAACUAUCACAACCAGCAGCCACAUUACCCCACAGCCAGUACUGUAACUAUCACAACCAGCAGCCACAUUACCCCAACAGCCAGUAC